GAUGAACGCUGGCGGCGUGCCUAAUACAUGCAAGUCGAGCGAACGGACGAGAAGCUUGCUUUUCUGAUGUUAGCGGCGGACGGGUGAGUAACACGUGGAUAACCUACCUAUAAGACUGGGAUAACUUCGGGAAACCGGAGCUAAUACCGGAUAAUAUUUUGAACCGCAUGGUUCAAAAGUGAAAGACGGUCUUGCUGUCACUUAUAGAUGGAUCCGCGCUGCAUUAGCUAGUUGGUAAGGUAACGGCUUACCAAGGCAACGAUGCAUAGCCGACCUGAGAGGGUGAUCGGCCACACUGGAACUGAGACACGGUCCAGACUCCUACGGGAGGCAGCAGUAGGGAAUCUUCCGCAAUGGGCGAAAGCCUGACGGAGCAACGCCGCGUGAGUGAUGAAGGUCUUCGGAUCGUAGAACUCUGUUAUUAGGGAAGAACAUAUGUGUAAGUAACUGUGCACAUCUUGACGGUACCUAAUCAGGAAGCCACGGCUAACUACGUG
rnacentral:rRNA from 1 species